GUUCCUGUAGCGCAAAAUGGAUAGCGCGUUGGACUUCUAAUACAAAGGUUGUGGGUUCGAAACGCACCUGGGAUG
rnacentral:tRNA from 1 species